rnacentral:misc_RNA from 1 species
GCGCUUCUAAAAAUUCAGUCGCUCAGCAGAGCUCAAGGAGUGGUCACGUCAGUUUGCCGAGCGACGCUUCCUAAAUAUUCAUCGCGAUCUAGCGUUGGAAAUGGGGAAGCGAAAAGACAAAUAUUUUACGAAAAAGUGUAAAACUUUUUUUAUUUUGAUUGUUUGCUUCCAGAAUUCAUUGACUCUAGGUUAGAUAGACAAAUGGAAAUUAAAGAACCAGACUAUAUUCUUAAUGCAAUAAAGGAAAGAGAAGAGAAGAUAAUAAAAAAAACGAAAAGCAACUAAAGAACAAGAACAAAUAACUAAAAGAAAUAAGAAGUAAAGAAUCACAAAUAACAUACCGAAAAAUAUAAUAUAUAAAAAUGAUAUUGAUAUUAAAUAAAUACUUGAUUUUAAAUCUUGUUUCAUUAUUUAAUAUUUCUACAUAUAUAACCUUCGUUUGAAAAAGU